GGGAUCAGCCUUACGACCAUUGGCAGAGAGAUAGACUAGUUAUAAGCCUUGGUUGUGGUGUGCAAUUUAUUGUUCAUUACGGUCUUGGCGACUGUCUUUCCUCUAAUAAGCUAAUGGCUGUUGGGUGCACUUCCCCUCGUCUUUUGGACGUCGCGACUCGCUGACGACUUGUUCUGGAAGGGACACUGCUUGUCACAAACUGGCAAGCAGUGGCGGCUAGAGAUGUAGCACUAGUGCGCUCUGAGCUGCCUUCCAGAGUCAGCGAGAAGUCAGCUCUCUAGUCUGAAAUCCCGCUGUAGUUGAAGCGAAGGAUAGCUGGGCUUUGUUAGGCUGUGUUGUGCCUUCUGUCUAGUUGUUGAUUUUGUCUCUGCGACUUUGCUUUUUUUU
rnacentral:rRNA from 1 species